UACUUACACAUCUAUUUAAUCAAUCUUAAAGUACAAAUAUUAUACGUUUAUAUUUUUAUAUAUUCGCGGAAGGAUGUGCGCAGGUACCAUGUUGUACUGCUGAAUUGUAGCCAAUCAAGAAGCAGUGCUGUGAGCAAUUCGAAAUAAUAACGGUUAACCGACACGAGGCACCGCACAGUCGUUCUGUGGAUUCGCACGUGGUCAGAUGUGCAUCGUGUUGAAGGAUGCCUACAAUGUGGAUAUAUAUCAGUUAGUAAUGAAUGCUAAACAAAAAGUUACAAAGUUAAUUUGUUAAAUUUUGAUAGAAGAAAAUGUAUAAAUACAAAAGAUGUAACACGUGAUCGAUCAUUGAUUUAUUUAAGAAUAAAUAAUGGGUGGCACCCAUGUAUAAAUGUAUUUACAGAUUCUUAUGGAAUCGGAAGAUCGAACUGCCAUGAUUGUUUCAAAUGUAUUCCAACAAGAGUUAAUUAUAUCCAUAUUGCUCAUAUGUCACUGUUACAUUUCAUAAAUUAAAUUGGUGCUCAAAAUCUUUGGAUCUCCAGAAUCUUAUGCAUGGAUUUUGUGUUAUUCAACUAAACCUAUUCUCUUGUAAGGUAAAUCAUAAAUCUUCUCUUACGUUGGUAUGGUGAGUCUUUUUUUAUUAUCUUUGUUAUGAAAUGUAUGUAAUCAUGCGUCCUCCUUUUUAUUAUGACGGAUUUAAAUGAUGUAUCGCAUGUCUUUACCAAUGAAUGCUGCUCGAUACGAUAAGUGCUGUAUUAAAAAUAUAAUUAAAAACAUCGGACCUGCGGAGUGAGAUCUCUAUUUAUUACGCGCUGCCUGCGUAUAGAAAAGAGUAAAAAUCACCGUGGUCUUGUCGCGGCUGGCGGUCAAACUUCUAUUUGAAAUUGUUUGUGUCGUGCAUCCCAACUGUUAACGCCAAUCGUCGCAAUCUUGGAUUCUCAGGUUGAUCGCGCCAUUUCGUUUAGCGAAUGUUUUCCUUUUUUUCUUCGGGUAACUAAUUAGUUACCCGAUUUUAUUUAUUUCUUUUUUGGAAUUCUUUCGUAUAUAGUUUACAUAAACAUAACGUAUUCCUAAAAAAUGUUCUCUUUGUCCAACGAACUGUUGAUUUCUAUACAACCUCCCCUGGUUAUGUGGCGCACGCGUAACAUUCACGUAUCGCGUUACGUGCGUUGCCAUUCCACACUAUUCGUAUCCUUUUUUUAUACCAUUACUUGAAUAUAGAAUUAUAGAAAACGUUUAAAAGUACAAAAUACAGAAAUAUAGAAAUUAUAAAAAUAUGAGAAUAAAAAGAUACAAAACUAUCAAAAUUACAGAAACUCUGAUUAAACAUUAGUACGUAUAUUCUACACUCGUUUUGUAUUACAUAUACACUUUUUAUAUUAUAUACAUGAACCAAAAUAGAAUGUAUAAAGUAUAUUUUAUAUAACAUGCUUCAUAUCUCACUCUUUUCUUAAUCAUCACAUUUGAUCACAGACAUUUUCCUUUCACAAUUUCCGUAGGCUUUUCUUCUGUACCUUUACUCAGCUGCAUAUCAUUUUUUACUUCCCUCUUUUUCUUUUCUCUCCCUCAUACGAGUCGUGAUUAAAAAGAUCGUUGAAUCUUUCUCUUAUUUGAGAAAAUAUUUACUUGUUCGUCUAUAUUUAAGUUAUUCCCUUUGAAUAUAAUAUUUUUUUGCCAGCGUGUCUUCCAAUCAUUAACAUAUUUCUAAAAAUACUUUCUUCUAUAGUGCAUAGUUCACAUAACUAUUUUUGUUUUAUUUUUUUAUUCUGGAGAAUAACAAAUAAUCGCAAGGGAGCGAUCA